GACGAACGCUGGCGGCGUGCUUAACACAUGCAAGUCGAACGGAAAGGCCCUGCUUUUGUGGGGUGCUCGAGUGGCGAACGGGUGAGUAACACGUGAGUAACCUGCCCUGGACUUUGGGAUAACUUCAGGAAACUGGGGCUAAUACCGGAUAGGAGCUGCUGCUGGAUGGUGGGGGUUGGAAAGUUUCGGCGGUUGGGGAUGGACUCGCGGCUUAUCAGCUUGUGGGUGGGGUAGUGGCUUACCAAGGGUUUGGCGGGUAGCCGGCCUGAGAGGGUGGACGGCCACAUUGGGACUGAGAUACGGCCCAGACUCCUACGGGAGGCAGCAGUGGGGAAUAUUGCACAAUGGGCGGAAGCCUGAUGCAGCAACGCCGCGUGCGGGAUGACGGCCUUCGGGUUGUAAACCGCUUUCGCCUGUGACGAAGCGUGAGUGACGGUAAUGGGUAAAGAAGCACCGGCUAACUACGUG
rnacentral:rRNA from 1 species